rnacentral:rRNA from 1 species
GAUGAACGCUGGCGGCGUGCCUAAUACAUGCAAGUCGAGCGAACUGAUUAGAAGCUUGCUUCUAUGACGUUAGCGGCGGACGGGUGAGUAACACGUGGGCAACCUGCCUGUAAGACUGGGAUAACUUCGGGAAACCGAAGCUAAUACCGGAUAGGCUCUUCUCCUUCAUGGGAGAUGAUUGAAAGAUGGUUUCGGCUAUCACUUACAGAUGGGCCCGCGGUGCAUUAGCUAGUUGGCGAGGUAACGGCUCACCAAGGCAACGAUGCAUAGCCGACCUGAGAGGGUGAUCGGCCACACUGGGACUGAGACACGGCCCAGACUCCUACGGGAGGCAGCAGUAGGGAAUCUUCCGCAAUGGACGAAAGUCUGACGGAGCAAUGCCGCGUGAGUGAUGAAGGCUUUCGGGUCGUAAAACUCUGUUGUUAGGGAAGAACAAGUACAAGAGUAACUGCUUGUACCUUGACGGUACCUAACCAGAAAGCCACGGCUAACUACGUGCCAGCCGCCGCAGUAACAC